UACGAAGGGGGCUAGCGUUGUUCGGAAUCACUGGGCGUAAAGCGCACGUAGGCGGAUUUGCCAGUCAGGGGUGAAAUCCCGGGGCUCAACCCCGGAACUGCCCUUGAUACAGCAAAUCUCGAGUCCGGAAGAGGUGAGUGGAAUUCCUAGUGUAGAGGUGAAAUUCGUAGAUAUUGGGAAGAACACCAGUGGCGAAGGCGGCUCACUGGCCCGUAACCGACGCUGAGGUGCGAAAGCGUGGGGAGCAAACAGG
rnacentral:rRNA from 1 species